rnacentral:rRNA from 1 species
CCUACGGGUGGCAGCAGUGGGGAAUAUUGCACAAUGGGGGAAACCCUGAUGCAGCGACGCCGCGUGAAGGAAGAAGUAUUUCGGUAUGUAAACUUCUAUUAGCCGGGAAGCAAAUGACGGUACCUGACUAAGAAGCCCCGGCUAACUACGUGCCAACAGCCGCGGCAAUACGUAGGGGGCAAGCGUUAUCCGGAUUUACUGGGUGUAAAGGGAUUGUAGGCGGUGCAGCAAGUCAGAAGUGAAAGCCCGGGGCUCAACUCCGGGACUGCUUUUGAAACUGUUGAACUUGAGUGCAGGAGAGGUAAGUGGAAUUCCUAGUGUAGCGGUGAAAUGCAUAGAUAUUAGGAGGAACACCAGUGGCGAAGGCGGCUUACUGGACUGUAAAUGACGCUGAGGCUCGAAAGCGUGGGGAGCAAACAGGAUUAGAUACCCGUGUAGUC